UACUAAACAUCCUAGACUACUUUAAAUGUUCUCAGAACACUUACAUCAGCCUACAGUAGGGCAAAAUCAUCUAACACAAAGCCUAUUUUAUAAUAAAGUGUUGGCUAUCUCAUGUAAUUUAUUGAAUACUGUAUUGAAAGUGAAAAACAGGAUGGUUGUAUGGGUACUCACCAUGAAAGAAUGCUUUCU